ACUCCUACGGGAGGCAGCAGUAGGGAAUCUUCCACAAUGGGCGCAAGCCUGAUGGAGCAACACCGCGUGAGUGAAGAAGGGUUUCGGCUCGUAAAGCUCUGUUGUUAAAGAAGAACACGUAUGAGAGUAACUGUUCAUACGUUGACGGUAUUUAACCAGAAAGUCACGGCUAACUACGUGCCAGCAGCCGCGGUAAUACGUAGGUGGCAAGCGUUAUCCGGAUUUAUUGGGCGUAAAGAGAGUGCAGGCGGUUUUCUAAGUCUGAUGUGAAAGCCUUCGGCUUAACCGGAGAAGUGCAUUGGAAACUGGAUAACUUGAGUGCAGAAGAGGGUAGUGGAACUCCAUGUGUAGCGGUGGAAUGCGUAGAUAUAUGGAAGAACACCAGUGGCGAAGGCGGCUACCUGGUCUGCAACUGACGCUGAGACUCGAAAGCAUGGGUAGCGAACAGGAUUAGAUACCCUGGUAGGAUAGCG
rnacentral:rRNA from 1 species